GAGUUUGAUCGUGGCUACGAGAUUGAACGCUGGCGGCAUGCCUUACACAUGCAAGUCGAACGGCAGCACGGGAGCUUGCUCCUGGUGGCGAGUGGCGAACGGGUGAGUAAUGCAUCGGAACGUAUCCUGGAGUGGGGGAUAACGUAGCGAAAGUUACGCUAAUACCGCAUAUUCUGUGAGCAGGAAAGCGGGGGACCUUCGGGGCCUCGCGCUCUUGGAGCGGCCGAUGUCGGAUUAGCUAGUUGGUGAGGUAAAGGCUCACCAAGGCGACGAUCCGUAGCAGGUCUGAGAGGAUGAUCUGCCACACUGGAACUGAGACACGGUCCAGACUCCUACGGGAGGCAGCAGUGGGGAAUUUU
rnacentral:rRNA from 1 species